rnacentral:rRNA from 1 species
CUUUAAUUGCCAGCAUUCAGUUUGGGCACUUUAAAGAGACUGCCGGUGUUAAGCCGGAGGAAGGUGGGGAUGACGUCAAGUCCUCAUGGCCUUUAUGCCCAGGGCUACACACGUGCUACAAUGGGUGGUACAAAGAGAUGCCAACUCGCGAGAGCGCGCCAAUCUCAGAAAGCCAUCCUCAGUUCGGAUUGGAGUCUGCAACUCGACUCCAUGAAGUUGGAAUCGCUAGUAAUCGCGGAUCAGCACGCCGCGGUCGAAUACGUUCCCGGGCCUU